AUUGAACGCUGGCGGCAGGCCUAACACAUGCAAGUCGAACGGCAACAGGAAGCAGCUUGCUGCUUUGCUGACGAGUGGCGGGCGGGUGAGUAAUGUCUGGGAAACUGUCCGAUGGAGGGGGAUAACUACUGGAAACGGUAGCUAAUACAGCAUAACGUCGCAAGACCAAAGAGGGGGACCUUAGGGCCUCUUGCCAUCGGGUGUGCGCAGAUGGGAGUAGCUAGUUGGUGGGGUAAAGGCCCACCAAGGCGACGAUCCCUAGCUGGUCUGAGAGGAUGAUCAGACACACUGGAACUGAGACACGGUCCAGACUCCUACGGGAGGCAGCAGUGGGGAAUAUGGGACAAUGGGCGCAAGCCUGAUCCAGACAUACCGCGUGGGUGAAGAAGGCCUUCGGGUUGUAAAGCCCUUUUGUUGGGAAAGAAAAGCAGCAGGUUAAUACCCCGCUGUUCUGACGGUACCCAAAGAAUAAGCACCGGCUAACUUCGUG
rnacentral:rRNA from 1 species